rnacentral:rRNA from 1 species
AAUCAACGCUGGCGGCGUGCCUAACACAUGCAAGUCGCACGAGAAAGGGACUUCGGUCCUGAGUACAGUGGCGCACGGGUGAGUAACACGUGAAUAAUCUACCUCCGAGUGGGGAAUAACCUAGAGAAAUCUGGGCUAAUACCGCAUAACACUCACGAGUCAAAGCAGCAAUGCGCUUGGAGAGGAGUUCGCGGCAGAUUAGUUAGUUGGCAGGGUAAUGGCCUACCAAGACGAUGAUCUGUAUCCGGCCUGAGAGGGCGCACGGACACACUGGAACUGAAACACGGUCCAGACUCCUACGGGAGGCAGCAGUGGGGAAUUUUGCGCAAUGGGGGAAACCCUGACGCAGCAACGCCGCGUGGAGGAUGAAAUCCCUGGGAUGUAAACUCCUUCGAUCGGGAAGAUAAUGACGGUACCGAGAGAAGAAGCCCCGGCUAACUUCGUGCCAGCAGCCGC